rnacentral:rRNA from 1 species
UACGGAGGAUCCAAGCGUUAUCCGGAAUCAUUGGGUUUAAAGGGUCCGUAGGCGGUUUGGUAAGUCAGUGGUGAAAGCCCAUCGCUCAACGGUGGAACGGCCAUUGAUACUGGCCAGACUUGGAAUUAUUAGGAAGUAACUAGAAUAUGUAGUGUAGCGGUGAAAUGCUUAGAGAUUACAUGGAAUACCAAUUGCGAAGGCAGGUUACUACUAAUGGAUUGACGCCUGAUGGACGAAAGCGUGGGUAGCGAACAGG